GAAAUUGUGGUCUCUAGAAAGAGCGAGGUUGAGUUACAGCCCUGAGGAGGGUGGUUGCAGAUGAGGAAACUGAGGCACAGCGAGUUUAAAUACCUUUCUCAAAGUGAUGGGGCUUUGGUCUGAAGUCUUGCUGUAAAGGCCAUGUUCUUAACCAGUAGGCAUUGUCUGUGACAACUCUCCAUGUAUUCCAACAGGAUGGGGAUUUGGAUCAGAACAGGGGGCUGCUGGCUGCAUGUGAGAAAAUUCCUCACCUCUGACCAACUUCAGAAUUGUUCAUCAGUGUGGACACUGUCAUUAGAUUUAGGGUCACCCUAACACAGAUGACCUCAUCUCCAGAUCCUCAACUAUAUCUGAAAAGACUCUUUCCCAGGAGAUGACCAAGGCCCCAUAUGGACGGGGGCAAACAGCAGCCAUGUGAAUGGGGGUCUGGGGAGAAUGAGGACCCUGGAAGCACCAGGAAAGGAUCCAGGCCUGGCUUCAUCAGGAGCAGGAGGCCCUGAGAAUCAACAUGUGCUGCCCUGAAGACUAACCAGGAGGAUUUGGGAGGGGCCGCUAGAAGGAAGGAGAUGACCAGCCUCCCAGGAUCCUUGGUGCCGGAGUCCAUCUUGGCUGAGAGCUCAUGGAGUUCCUGGGCCAGGGAUCAGAUUUGAGCCGCAUUUGUGACCUAUGCCACAGCUGCAGCAACGCUGGAUUCUUAACCCACUGGGUCAGGCCGGGGAUUCAACUUGUGUCCCAGUCCUGCAGAGAUGCUGCUGAUCCCGUUGUGCCAUAGCGGGGACUCCACUCUCCUUUCUUUUUUUCUGCCCUGAGUGCAGGAGUCUGGUUGAUGGCCUCAGUUAUCUGGGGGCUGGAGGCUGAUCAUCUCUGGUAGGCAGAGAACUGGAAUUCUACAUUCUAGUUUUGAUAGGGUUGGAGUACAGUAGUUACACAGGUAGUUGUAGAAGUCCCAGUAAGAGACCAUAAGUAAAGAGGGAAACCUAGGGGACUUUGGGAGAUCACUGUAAUUUAAUAACUGCUCAAGAGGGCCCUCAGAACAAGGUAGGUUUGCUAGACUAGUGGAGGCAAGAGAUAUGCCUUAGUCAUUGGAUGGGGGAUGGGGUGAGGCCUGCAUUCAAGUUCAGACCAAAGGCAGGAGUUUAAGGACCACCUUUCUGCUGAUUUCAAUAAGCACCAGGACAGUCCUAGUCUGACCUUAGAGGGUCAAAUACUCUCUUACCAGAUACCAAGAAGGAGCUACUAUUUCAAGAAAGAGGAAGAGGCAGGUUCCCCCCCAAUACACACACACUUGCGUCUUGGAUUAUGAGACUGCAGCCCACCUGAUCCUCAGGGCAGAGCCUCUUUGCCUAAUCUAUUUCUUGCUUUGUUUCUUACUGAAUUCCUUCUGCACUGAGGCACAGAGAACCUGGGCCUCAGUGAGUCCAGACACUGGGUGAGUGGCUCUAAUUUGAAAACUGUGGGUUCAGUCCCAAUCUGGGUUUAAGCUGGGUUUGAGUCCUGGCACCUGGGUUCACGUCCCAAGCUGGGUUUUGGCUGUACUCAAGUCAUAAGUGCUCUCAAUUUCAGUUUCUGGUUUGGCUGAGUUGCUGUCGCCCUUUCUGAAGCUCAGGGAAAAGUCCCAUAAUGCCUGGGUAUCUGCAGGUGGUGGGAGAUGUCUAUCAGGCCACCCCUUUUGCCCCUCAUCCCCUUCUUUUUUUUUUUUUUCUUUUGUCUUUUCUAGGGCCACUCCCACAGCAUAUGGAGGUUCCCAGGCUAGGGGUCUAGUUGGAGCUGAAGCUACCAGCCUACACCACAGCCACACCAGAUCCGAGCCGCGUCUGUGACCUACACCACAACUCACGGCAACGCCAGAUUCUUAACCCACUGAGCAAGGCCAGGGAUAGAACCUGCAACCUUAUGGUUCCUAGUCGGAUUCGUUAACCACUGAGCCAUGACGNUUUUUUUUUUUUUUUUUUUUUGUCUUUUUGCCACUUCUUGGGCCGCUCCUGCAGCAUAUGGAGGUUCCCAGGCUAGGAGUCUCCUCGGAGCUGUAGCUGCUGGCCUGCACCAGAGCCACAGCAAUGCAGGAUCCGAGCCACGUCUGCGACCUACACCACAACUCACGGCAACGCCGGAUUCUUAACCCACUGAGCAAGGCCAGGGAUAGAACCUGCAACCUUAUGGUUCCUAGUUGGAUUCGUUAACCACUGCGCCACGACGGGAACUCCCCUCUGAAAUCUUUGACGACCCAAGAUACUUCCAUUUACCAUUUGUUGGUACUGAAACCAAGCAGGGCCCUGUGGGGUUCCUGGGAACAAGACUUUCUGUGUCCCCAAUUUCUUGUUUUUAGGGAAAAACUUCAGCCUCCAAGAUCGUCACUGAGUUCCAAAGGGUAGGUUCAAAUAGCUGCUAAUCAGAGAAGGGAAGGGAUGAGGGAGGAAUAACCAAGAAACAAGAGUGCAGCCUUGGGGCUGGAUCCUGGUUCCUCUUCAAGGAAUAUACAUAACAAUAUCUGAGUUCUUUUGCAGAGCUAAACCCCCAACAAAUGGAAAACUGGAGAGGAGGACCACCAGCACCAGUCCUGGGGCUGCCGAACACCAACUUUGAAGAAGAAUGCAAGCUUGCAUCUACCCUGAUCCUUACCUGUGGCCCUAUUUUCUACUGCCACACUGUGUAAAAUCCCUUCCUGAUCUCUCCCAAGGUGGGGCACAGUCUUUAGGGCAUUAGCCUGCUGUGGCCUCCUUUGCUUGGCAAAGCAAUAAAGCUAUUUUUUUUCUCUU
rnacentral:lncRNA from 1 species